UGCUAAAUAUGCAUGAUUUUACAAUAAACGGCAUUGCUAUUCUCAUUUGCUUCAAGAUCAUUCAAUUUCAUUAAAAUUUCCUAAUUUCUUGCAAUGCUGCAGUUCUUGAUUUUGUUGGGUUUUGUUGCAAAUAUUAAUAAAAUGUAGGGAAUCCUGCAUGAAUGAAUAGACAGAUUGCAAGAAUCUCAUUAUAUUCCAAUUAUUAGCAGCAUAUUGGUCAAAUUUCGUGCAAAAACAGCAGAUUUGCUUAGGUUUUGUCCGGAAUUCAGUUAAAUAGAAUAUUUCACUUUGCUCUAGAACGUGUUGUCUAAAAUAGGUUAUAAAUAUGUCGGAUUCUAUAAGGGUGGGUUAAUGAUAAACUAGAUAGUAUCGGGUUCACGUAUAUCCGGAAAUGGCUUGAACUUCCUAUUUCUGCAACCCUUAGUAACGUACUACUUCCUCACAAUAAAUUUGGAUUAAAUAUCAUUCUACCUUCAACCAAAUUCCUUCAAUGCUAAACUGUUUCUCGGAAAGCUCUUAAGUCGUCGCCAAAUGAAGCGAUAAAUAACCUUUGGAAGGGUACUAGCAAUCACAAAAAUGUACAAUAUGACAAAUACAAAAACACCAAAACAACACAAAGACAAGCUUCAACACCACCUCAUUUCACAAGGCUCAUUUUUCUCCAGUAUCAUUAAACAUUCGACACUCUCAUUCAACUCUGUAUGGUCCUCCGUUAAAAGUAAACUUCCCAAGAAUAUAUUAAAUUUCAUUAUCCGGUAUAUAAUUAAUUCAAGUAGACACUGGGAAGCUAUCUGUAAAGAGAGGUUUAUCAUUGUAGUAUGUA